AAUCAACGCUGGCGGCGUGCCUCAGACAUGCAAGUCGAACGAUUAAAGCUCUCUUCGGAGAGUGUAUAGAGUGGCGCACGGGUGAGUAACACGUAAGUAAUCUACCUUUGAGUGGGGAAUAACAAUCGGAAACGAUUGCUAAUACCGCAUAAUGCAGCGGCAUCGCAAGAUGACAGUUGUUAAAGGAGCAAUCCGCUUAAAGAGGAGCUUGCGGCAGAUUAGCUAGUUGGUAAGGUAAUGGCUUACCAAGGCUACGAUCUGUAACCGGUCUAAGAGGACGGUCGGUCACACUGACACUGAAUAACGGGUCAGACUCCUACGGGAGGCAGCAGUCGGGAAUUUUGGGCGAAUGGGCGAAAGCCUGACCCAGCAACGCCGCGUGAAGGAUGAAGUAUUU
rnacentral:rRNA from 1 species